AGGGUUAAUGUCUCUUUCACCUGAAGCACCUGACCAGAGGACCAAUCAGGAAACUGGAUUUUUUCAACUUUGGGUGGAGGGAAGUUUGUGUCUGGGUCUUUGUUUUCUGUCUGCCUGCUUUCUCUGAGCUUUGGAGAAGUAGUUUCUACUUUCUAGUCUUCUGUUUCUAAUGUAAGGACAAAGAGAUCAGAUAGUAAGUUAUAUGGUUUCUUUUCUUUGGUAUUUGCAUGAAUAUAAGUGCUGGAGUGCUUUGAUGUGUAUUCUUUUUGAAUAAGGCUGUUUAUUCAAUAUUCUUUUAAGCAAUCGACCCUGUAUUGUGUCACCUUAAUACAGAGAGACCAUUUGUAUGUAUUUUUCUUUCUUUUUUAUAUAAAGCUUUCUUUUAAGA